GACGAACGCUGGCGGCGUGCUUAACACAUGCAAGUCGAGCGGAAAGGCUCCUUCGGGGGUACUCGAGCGGCGAACGGGUGAGUAACACGUGAGUAAUCUGCCCUUGGCUUCGGGAUAGCCACCGGAAACGGUGAUUAAUACCGGAUACGACACAUCACUGCAUGGUGCGUGUGUGGAAAGUUUUUUCGGCCAGGGAUGUGCUCGCGGCCUAUCAGCUUGUUGGUGGGGUAAUGGCCUACCAAGGCUUCGACGGGUAGCCGGCCUGAGAGGGUGACCGGCCACACUGGGACUGAGACACGGCCCAGACUCCUACGGGAGGCAGCAGUGGGGAAUAUUGGACAAUGGGCGGAAGCCUGAUCCAGCAACGCCGCGUGAGGGAUGACGGCCUUCGGGUUGUAAACCUCUUUCAGCACAGACGAAGCGCAAGUGACGGUAUGUGCAGAAGAAGGACCGGCCAACUACGUGCCAGCAGCCGCGGUAAUACGUAGGGUCCGAGCGUUGUCCGGAAUUAUUGGGCGUAAAGGGCUCGUAGGCGGUUUGUCGCGUCGGGAGUGAAAACACCGGGCUUAACUCGGUGCUUGCUUUCGAUACGGGCAGACUAGAGGCAUUCAGGGGAGAACGGAAUUCCUGGUGUAGCGGUGAAAUGCGCAGAUAUCAGGAGGAACACCGGUGGCGAAGGCGGUUCUCUGGGAAUGUCCUGACGCU
rnacentral:rRNA from 1 species